AAUAGAUACCCAGGUAGUCCACGCCGUAAACGAUGUCGACUUGGAGGUUGUUCCCUUGAGGAGUGGCUUCCGGAGCUAACGCGUUAAGUCGACCGCCUGGGGAGUACGGCCGCAAGGUUAAAACUCAAAUGAAUUGACGGGGGCCCGCACAAGCGGUGGAGCAUGUGGUUUAAUUCGAUGCAACGCGAAGAACCUUACCUACUCUUGACAUCCAGAGAACUUAGCAGAGAUGCUUUGGUGCCUUCGGGAACUCUGAGACAGGUGCUGCAUGGCUGUCGUCAGCUCGUGUUGUGAAAUGUUGGGUUAAGUCCCGCAACGAGCGCAACCCUUAUCCUUUGUUGCCAGCGGUCCGGCCGGGAACUCAAAGGAGACUGCCAGUGAUAAACUGGAGGAAGUGGGGAUGACGUCAAGUCAUCAUGGCCCUUACGAGUAGGGCUACACACGUGCUACAAUGGCGUAUACAAAGAGAAGCGACCUCGCGAGAGCAAGCGGACCUCAUAAAGUACGUCGUAGUCCGGAUUGGAGUCUGC
rnacentral:rRNA from 1 species